rnacentral:rRNA from 1 species
UACGUAGGGUGCAAGCGUUGCCCGGAUUUAUUGGGCGUAAAGGGCGCGUAGGCGGUCACGCACGUCCGUUGUGAAAUCUCCGAGCUUAACUCGGAACGGUCAACUGAUACUGUGCGGCUAGAGUGCGGAAGGGGCAACUGGAAUUCUUGGUGUAGCGGUGAAAUGCGUAGAUAUCAAGAGGAACACCUGCGGCGAAGGCGGGUUGCUGGGCCGACACUGACGCUGAGGCGCGAAAGCCAGGGGAGCGAACGGG